rnacentral:lncRNA from 1 species
GGAGGCACAUUGCACUAAAUGUCGUCUUUGUACUGCACUAGGCCCGGCUGAGCCUCCGAAAUCAGCCUUCCCUUUGUUGCCGAGCCGGCUGUCUGGACCUUGGUUUUUCUUACACAUAUUUUGUAGUUAUAUUUAUAUGCUCUUUUGUCCGAUUGUGCAUGUUAUUUUUCUUUUUCCGUGAGUCAAAGUCUGACCUUUAUUUUCAACAUCUGUUCUUGAUGUUAAGCUAUCUUUUGUAGGAAAUAGUGGGGCACACUACUCAGAGACAUUUAUUUAGCAGGCAAGAAAGACACAAAUAACAAUGACAAAAAGACAUCCUAAAAUUACGAAGUUGCCAUGACAAUAAAGGUCAUAGAACCUAGUAGUGUCACGUUUAACCCUUUGAGGACUGCAAUUGCAUUUCUGUGCCUUUCACUCAAAAAAAGAAAAAAAAAAAGAAAAGAAAGAAAAAAAAAAGGAAAGAAAAAAAGGCUUCAAGGCAUUUCAUUCAGAUCAAAAGCUGUGUCAGACACAAAACUUAUUUAAUAAUUAAAAAAUGAGCUUUUAUAUGCAGAACUGGUUUGUGAAGGAAACAUGCAUGCAGCUGUUGGAAGAUAGAAAGGUGUCUAGGACUCAUGGGGUUAGGAAGCCACAGCUUUACACAUUUAGAACAAAACAAACCAAACCACACAGAGCAGGAAGAGCGUCGUGUUUCUGCAUCGUCUCCAGCUGCCAUCCCACCGGGACCACUGCCUUUCAGCCACUGGGAGCUGGGACUGCGGAGGAAAUUCAGAACGAUCGAUACCAGAGCACGGGAUCAGUCCGUGCGCCGCGAUAUACAUAUUCACAGCCUGGCAGUUCUAGGAGCCUGGGUAGGCAUAAGGGACUGGUGAGAAGAAAAAAAAAAAAAGGUUGAUUUAUGAUGAUCUCAAAAACAUGGUCUCCAAAGAUGUAUUCUGCAGCUCUGAGACCUCGGGUUUAAGCUCUAUUAAUUUUACAGAACUGUCUGGGAUUACCCAUCUGUUUAAAGGUUAACUGUCUUCACACUUAUGAAAUGGGUAUCUCUGUUUUGGUUCUUACUUUGUUCCUGUUAAUGAUUUAUAAAAUACAAAAUGCAAAGCCAGUGAAAUAGCUUUAAAUCUUCACUAUGAAACACCCACCUGACCAAGUUUUUGAGAGACACAAAGUAUCACUCAUGUCCUGCCCAGGACACCUUGGAAAUCCGGCCGCUCUACGCGCCCCGUUUUGAAUAAAGCAGAAAGAAAAGCUCCCCCCCCCA